rnacentral:tRNA from 1 species
GAGGGUAUAACUCCUUGGUAGAGUGCAUGCCUAGCGCCCACGAGGUCCUGGGUUCAAUCCCCAGUACCUCCA